GACGGACGCUGGCGGCGUGCUUAACACAUGCAAGUCGAGCGGUAAGGCCCUUCGGGGUACACGAGCGGCGAACGGGUGAGUAACACGUGGGUGACCUGCCUCUAGCUCUGGGAUAAGCCUGGGAAACUGGGUCUAAUACCGGAUAUGACUCCACGGCGCAUGUUGUGGGGUGGAAAGCCUUGUGUGGCUAGAGAUGGGCCCGCGGCCUAUCAGCUUGUUGGUGGGGUGAUGGCCUACCAAGGCGACGACGGGUAGCCGGCCUGAGAGGGCGACCGGCCACACUGGGACUGAGACACGGCCCAGACUCCUACGGGAGGCAGCAGUGGGGAAUCUUGCGCAAUGGGCGAAAGCCUGACGCAGCGACGCCGCGUGAGGGA
rnacentral:rRNA from 1 species